CCUACGGGUGGCAGCAGUCGAGAAUCAUUCACAAUGGGGGAAACCCUGAUGGUGCGACGCCGCGUGGGGGAAUGAAGGUCUUCGGAUUGUAAACCCCUGUCAUGUGGGAGCAAAUUAAAAAGAUAGUACCACAAGAGGAAGAGACGGCUAACUCUGUGCCAGCAGCCGCGGUAAUACAGAGGUCUCAAGCGUUGUUCGGAAUCACUGGUCGUAAAGGGUGCGUAGGCUGUUUCGUAAGUCGUGUGUGAAAGGCGCGGGCUCAACCCGCGGACGGCAAAUGAUACGGCGAGACUAGAGUAAUGGAGGGGGAACCGGAAUUCUCGGUGUAGCAGUGAAAUGCGUAGAUAUCGAGAGGAACACUCGUGGCGAAGGCGGGUUCCUGGACAUUAACUGACGCUGAGGCACGAAGGCCAGGGGAGCGAAAGGGAUUAGAUACCCCAGUAGUC
rnacentral:rRNA from 1 species